rnacentral:rRNA from 1 species
AUUGAACGCUGGCGGCAGGCCUAACACAUGCAAGUCGGGCGAGAGGCGGACGGGUGAGUAAUGUAUGGGGAUCUGCCUGAUGGAGGGGGAUAACUACUGGAAACGGUAGCUAAUACCGCCUACCAUCAGAGGCACCCAUAUGGGAUUAGCUUGUAGGUAAGGUAACGGCUUACCUGGGCGACGAGCUCUAGCUGGUCUGAGAGGAUGAUCAACCACACUGGGCCUGAGAAACGGCCCAGACUCCUACGGGAGGCAGCAGUGGGGAAUAUUGCACUAUGGGCGCAAGCCUGAUGCAGCCAUGCCGCGUGUAUGAAGAAGGACUUCGGGUUGUAAAGUACUUUCAUUCGGUAGGCGUUACCGACAGAAGAAGCACCGGCUAACUCCGUGCCAGCAGCCGCGGUAAUAC